rnacentral:rRNA from 1 species
CCCUUAGAUGUCCUGGGCCGCACGCGCGCUACACUGACGACUUCAACGAGUUUUUUUCAUUUGAAAAAGUCCUUGGCCGGAAGGUCUGGGUAAUCUUUUAAAAGGUCGUCGUGAUGGGGCUAGAUUCUUGCAAUUAUUAAUCUCCAACGAGGAAUUCCUAGUAAACGCAAGUCAUCAACUUGCAUUGAUUACGUCCCUGCCCUUUGUACACACCGCCCGUCGCACCUACCGAUUGAACGUUCCGGUGAGACCUUGGGAUUUGGUCUUUGGUACUUUAUUGUGCCGUUGACCGAAAAACUUGAGCAAACCUUAACGUUUAGAGGAAGGUGAAGUCGUAACA